rnacentral:rRNA from 1 species
GCUUGCUUUCUUUGCUGGCGACCGGCGCACGGGUGAGUAACACGUAUCCAACCUACCCUUUACUCGGGGAUAGCCUUUCGAAAGAAAGAUUAAUACCCGAUAGCAUAAUGAUUCCGCAUGGUUUCAUUAUUAAAGGAUUCCGGUAAAGGAUGGGGAUGCGUUCCAUUAGGUUGUUGGUGGGUAACGGCCCACCAAGCCUUCGAUGGAUAGGGGUUCUGAGAGGAAGGUCCCCCACAUUGGAACUGAGACACGGUCCAAACUCCUACGGGAGGCAGCAUG